AAAAAUCGAUUGAUUGAUAUAAAUAUUAAUCGAAAAAUAUAAUAAAAUGAAUAUUGCUUCGAGAGUUCUAAGUAGUUCUAACCUUUGGAAUGUAAUUGUUUAAAUAAUUUUACAAUUUUUAAUAAUGAAUGAAUUUUUAUCAUGUUUUAAAAUACAAAAAUACAAUACAGUAUUCUAUAGAACUCUCAAAACAUAAAAUAAGGAUAUAGUAGGUGUACACAUAAUAAGAAUUAGAAUAUCUUUCAACAAAGGAGAGAAAGGAAAUAUAUCUUUACACGGUAAGAAAAAUAUUUUCGACACGGAUUGUGUUUCCGGUAUCUGUCGAUAUCUCGUGAGACAUCUGAAGCUGCUGGUUAAAUAUCGAACAUCAUCUACAAACACAAACUACGGAUUUAUGAAAACAAUAAUUGUAAAAUAAAGAAUAAAUAUUCUUUAUAUGAUUUUAUUUUCUUUAUAUGAAUUUAUUCCAGAAGUUUCUGUUUGCAGAGCAUGCCUCAAUAUUCAGUCGAUAUGUACACAAUUGUAUAUUGCAUAUUAGUUGAGUAAAAUAUACAUAGAGGAGCAAGUUUCAAAUAAAAAAAUCCUAUUAGAGGGCGCUGUAAAUCCAGGCACAUAAGUCACGUACAAAAUACAGACAAAAUGUGUGGUGUUUUUUUUUGUGAAUUCUUCGUCUUUUUUUGUUUUUAAUUGGAUCAUUUUGGAUUAUAAAAAGGUAAGUAAUUUAUAAUUUUAUAAUGACAUAGUUAGAAUCAGAUAUUUCAAUUUGUUUACUCGAACAAUCCAAAUGGCACGAAAUAUAAUAAUGAUUCUAAAUUUAAAACUAAUUUCAUUUUUGUCCUGUUAUGUUUGUUACAUUUAGCUGCAUGUUAAUUGAUAAAUAAAUUUCAUCGUAGCCAGAAAUAUAUACAGCAGUAUGAUGUGAUCGUUCUUCCUGAUUGUUUGUUGGUAGAAUUAACAUGUAAGGAUAACAUGAAAGAUGUUUGCAGACGAAUUAUGUGAUGGUAUAUAAUUUAUUAAAUUCUAGAGAAAUCAACGAUUUAAUUUUUGAUUUUUUUUUUAAAAAAUUGAUUUUUAAAAAUAAUUAAAAAUAAUGAAAAAAGAAAAUAAAGUAUCUCUAAUAACAAGAUAAAGUGAAUACGUACCAAAAGGCCUGAUGGGAUGUCGACUCCAUAGAUAGCUACGUUUAACAGGACUUAGGUAACUAUCUCUGAGAUAAAACG